rnacentral:lncRNA from 1 species
AUAGUCUGAAGAACCAAAGAUAAAAUAUUUGCCCCACAAGCUUCUGUGACUCUGCUCCCCCUUCUGCAUCCCCACUCACUGAGAGACAGGGAGCUCUUUCAAGCAGGUGUUUGUCAAAUAAUAACAUGAUAAAUGUGAGCACCCCGGGAGUCUGUAUCUUGCAAGAGUUAGGUCUGUAUAGUACAGACAAUUGAGUUUAUUUAACCACUUUAUUGAAAAGGGUGCAGAGGGUAUUAAUGCUUACUUCCUUACAGUUCUAAAUAACAUGUAAUUUUCCGCAUGUGGUUUGGUGGUUUGUGCGAGCUUCAGCACUGAAUGUGAACAUGGAAUAUCUGUAUCACGUGGGAUCAUGAUAUGCAAGCAAAAGGAAAACUUUUUUUUAUUUUUUACCAUUUAGUGAACAAAUACUUUGUUGCCCUUCCAGGGGCCCCUGGUGCUCUGCUGAGAUUUAUUGCUUUAGAAUAAAAGGUCACAUCUGGAGGGAAAUGCCUGAAUAAAUAUAAUGUUAAUUUUAUUUUAGGGGUUAAAAAAUUCUCAGAGGAAACAAGCAAGGUCAGCUCAUUUCUUGGUUCCAGCUAGGUAAAGAGGGUUUCUUUUUAUUGGGAAUUGGUUUAGUAGUUUUUAGUGAAUUUGAUUUUUUUUUCUAAUGCUAAUUUCCCUUCUCCUUGUCGUCACUCAAUCUGGCUGCCUCUAGUGUUUUUGUCUUUUUUGUUUGUUUGUUUGUUUGUUUUUCCGCUGUACAGCAUGGGAACCAAGUUACACUUACAUGUAUACAUUUUUUUUCCACCCUUUGUUCUGUUGCGAUAUAAGUAUCUAGACAUAGUUCUCAAUGACACUCAGCAGGAUCUUAUUGUGAAUCCAUUGUAAAUCCAUUCCAAGGCCAGGGAUUGAACCUGCAGCCUCAUUGUUCCUAGUCGGUUUUGUUUCCUUUGCACCAUGGUGGGAACUCCUUGUGCCUAUUUCUUAAUUUGGACUCUUAAGGUUUUUCCUUUAUAUUUAAAAAAUAACUGGAGUUCCCAUCAUGGCUCAGCCGUUAAUACACCCAACUGGUAUCCAUGAGGAUGCACGUUCAAUUCCUGGCCUCCCUCAGUGCGUUGAGGAUCCAGCAUUGCUGUGAGCUGUGGUGUAGGUUGCAGAUGCAGCUUGGAUCCUGCAUUGCUGUGGCUGUGGUGUAGACUGGCAGCUGCAGCUCCGAUUCAACCCCUAGCCUGGUAACCUCCAUAUGCUG